CUCCUCUCAGCGUCUCAACUGGAGAGUUUCCAGUACCCUACCAGUCUCGACUAUAUUAGGGAGAGUCAAGCAGAAGCCUACCCAUUCCAUUCCUAGCUUGGCCAGUGGCUAGCGAGGGGAAGACAAUCUGCUACAAGU